ACUCUAGAGAUAGAGUCUUCCCCUUCGGGGGACAAAGUGACAGGUGGUGCAUGGUUGUCGUCAGCUCGUGUCGUGAGAUGUUGGGUUAAGUCCCGCAACGAGCGCAACCCUUAAGCUUAGUUGCCAGCAUUAAGUUGGGCACUCUAAGUUGACUGCCGGUGACAAACCGGAGGAAGGUGGGGAUGACGUCAAAUCAUCAUGCCCCUUAUGAUUUGGGCUACACACGUGCUACAAUGGACAAUACAAAGGGCAGCUAAACCGCGAGGUCAUGCAAAUCCCAUAAAGUUGUUCUCAGUUCGGAUUGUAGUCUGCAACUCGACUACAUGAAGCUGGAAUCGCUAGUAAUCGUAGAUCAGCAUGCUACGGUGAAUACGUUCCCGGGUCUUGUACACACCGCCCGUCACACCACGAGAGUCUGUAACACCCGAAGCCGGUGGAGUAACCAUUUAUGGAGCUAGCCGUCGAAGGUGGGACAAAUGAUUGGGGUGAAGUCGUAACAAGGUAGCCGUAUCGGAAGGUGCG
rnacentral:rRNA from 1 species